rnacentral:rRNA from 1 species
AGUGAACGCUGGCGGUAGGCCUAACACUUGCAAGUCGAACGGCAGCACAGUAAGAGCUUGCUCUUACGGGUGGCGAGUGGCGGACGGGUGAGGAAUACAUCGGAAUCUACUUUUUCGUGGGGGAUAACGUAGGGAAACUUACGCUAAUACCGCAUACGACCUACGGGUGAAAGCAGGGGAUCUUCGGACCUUGCGCGAUUGAAUGAGCCGAUGUCGGAUUAGCUAGUUGGCGGGGUAAAGGCCCACCAAGGCGACGAUCCGUAGCUGGUCUGAGAGGAUGAUCAGCCACACUGGAACUGAGACACGGUCCAGACUCCUACGGGAGGCAGCAGUGGGGAAUAUUGGACAAUGGGCGCAAGCCUGAUCCAGCCAUACCGCGUGGGUGAAGAAGGCCUCCGGGUUGUAAAGCCCUUUUGUUGGGAAAGAAAAGCAGCAGGUUAAUACCCCGCUGUUCUGACGGUACCCAAAGAAUAAGCACCGGCUAACUUCGUG